CAAAUGAAUUAUUCCUAGUAAUUGAACUUUAAUAAUGAUUUCGCGCGCUAACGUAUCUACUAGCCUAGUUUACUUGAACGUUGUAAGUUGAGAGAUGAUUUGAAUCUCCAUUGCUGCAUUCAAUAUUAACCUCUUCAACUUCAACUACAGAAGGGUUGAAGAACAGUUGGGGCCGGGAUUCCUCGAGACUCUACGUAGUGCUCCAUAGUUGUGUGUCCCAACUCCCAAGAAGUCCAUCUAUGCAGUUUAUAGAGACUUUGGUUUGCUGAUUGCUUUGGAGUGUGCUGGAUUUUAUCCAUGAAAAAGUGAAGGAAAUCACUGAGACAUACGCAGGACUGGUGAACACAUCUGCAAGCUGCUGAGAACUUGGAAAAUAAGUAGGAGCAACAAUACCUUUAGUCGACUUGUCUCUGAUGAAGUGGCAGUCUAUUCAACAGGUUUAGUCUUCUCAUGUUGAACAGGGUUGGCUGCAAUGGGCCAAUGGCUAAAGCUGCCUGAUUGUCACAGUGAAUUGCAGUAGUACCUAGGUUCUUCAGGCCAAGAUCCCUGAGUAGUUUUUGAAAGCUGAACUUCUAUCUACCAAGCUUGUGUUUUCGCUUAUGAACAGGUUAAAGUUUCCGGCUUUGGUGGUUGGUUUCUUACUCUCACUUCAUGAUCCUGUUCUACCACUUAACAUUUAUGUAGACGAUAAAGUCAGUUUUUGAGGCACCCAUUUGAAUUGUUAAAUGUAUAGUUUGCAAUCGAGGAAUCAAUGAUGAAGCUGUGAACUUAGCACUUGCUGCUCACAAAGCUGUUGGGAAGUCACGAGCUUUGGACAUGUCAUCAUUGGAUAAAUUAAUUAAUAGAAGUUGAGUGUGCUCGAGUGAGCAUGUUUUGCUCACCAUGGGGAGUGGUGCUUGGAGUUCAAGGUUUCUGGAGCUGCUGUAAUCUCCGAGGGGAAACGCUGCUGUAAUCAAUGAUAGGAAACGCUGCUCUUUUUCGCUUGCAAAAAUGGAGAAGCCUGGAGGUAUAAGCAUUUGAAGCAAUGCAAAUUUUGGGAGUUCACUACAUAUGACAAGGCAAGCUGACCUUUCCAUAAAAUGAUUCUUGUAAAAUGAUACAUCUGCUUAUAGAAAUAACAAGAGUUUCUGCACGAGCACUGUUUUAUGUUCAUCUGGUUUAAGCUUAUGAGGUAGUUGCAUCAUAAGGAUCAGAAAUAUAUUGCUUAAUUCUCCAUGUCCAGAAAGCAUAACUCUGUUCAGGAAAAAAAAAAAGGUAUUGUACUGCACUAUCUCGAAUGAACUGGGUUCCGAUCAAUGAAGACGACCACUAGAAUCGUAAGAGAGAUGAGCAAAUUUCAUGUAUUGUUUUCUUCGUAAUCACAAAAUGAUAAUGUACUGUGACCCUGCGACUAUACUAUAAGCGUCGAAGCUACCCGUAAAAAGACGAUGAUGAUGCUGAUUAUAUUGUUGGCUUGGACAAAGACAUUAAAAUGCUGCUAGAAGUAUUGCUAGGAGAAGGGAAGACCCAAGUACAUGUUGUUUCCAUUAAAAUACUCCUAUCAAUUCCACUGCCAAUGAUGGAUCUAACAUAGCAAUACAGCCACGUAAAUUGGCUCUUCAUCUUAGCACCUACAUUCCUUCACAAGUUUCAAAAUUGAGGUCAAUUGUCAUGUUGCCAAGAUCUUCCAUCAUGCACUCUGGUGACUCUGCCUAUGAUCCCAAAGAGAUAACAGGUUUGAAUAAUCUACAUCACAAUUUUCAGUUGCUUAGAUUGUUAAAUCUCUGGGGUAUUAAGACUCUUGACGGAACUUUACCUACACAAAUUGGGAGCUUAGUAAACUUGAGGUAUCUUGGGAUUCGUGCUUCGAAUAUUACAGAACUCCCUGAGUCAGUUGGGAAGUUGAGAUAUCUAUUGACUUUAGAUUACAGGAAUAUUGAAUCUGAUAAUAAUGUAAAAGUUCCUGAUGUCUUGUGCAAGCUUAUGCAACUUAGGCAUCUAUAAGCUUGUUUCCUGGAUGUGCAUUCCCUUAACCUGCAGGGUGAGACAACUCGACAUCUAUGCUCAUUUGCAGAUUCCCGCUCAGCUGCCUCCAGCCCUCUUCAGUUGUCAAACACUCGAGGUCUUGAAGCUCAACGUGUAUCUUGAUCUUGAACUUCCCUCGUCUGUGUGUCUGCCACACGAAGAUGACUCUUUGGCUAGGCUAGUCUCAAGCUAUCCAUCCCUCGAGCACGUGGAUUUAUAUGGUUGCUGGAAUCCUGCUAAUCCUAUUAAAAUUUCUUCAUCUUCUCUCCGUAGAUAAGCUAUGUGCUUUCCAAUUUGGUUUGAAUGCAAAAGGAGCAAACUUACACUGAUGUUCCAAAUUUCGAGUACCUAUUAUACAAGGGCACCUCUGCAAUGGGUUACCCAAUUGGAGAAUCAACUGACAUACUUGAAGCUGAAGUUGAUACUGCUUUCGUCUGUCAUGAGAGGGAUAUCGAGAAUCAAGGCUCGUUAAACUAAUUUCAGGCUUUGAGCCAUUGUGAUAUAGAGCAUAAGCUCCCUGUCUUUCGAAACUUGAAACAUUUGAUGCUUGGUUGUGAAUGCCUACAUUCACUGGAAUAAGCUAUUCAUAUAUCUGCUGAGAUUUACACCUUUUCUAAAAACACUUACUUCUCCAGGUUAGUGUAUUUUCUUCUCUUCCAAAAAUUUUGAUAUAUGAUUUUGCAAACUAUGGUUGUGGUUGUUCUUUAUCCUGACUCUACCAGGACUGCUACCCGGCUAGCCCAUGAUCAGCUUGUGGUACGUUUUCUCACUUGGUUGAUGCACUGUAUUUUGAAGGGAGAAAAUGGGAACUUGAAAUGGUUCUCUUAAGUAUGCGUCAGUUUUGGAGGAACUGGUUGUAUCUUGUUUUACUUCUGUGCCAUUGGCUGAUAGAAAUUUGCUUGAGAGCACAUUACAAAACCUGUCAAGAGUUUCAGCUGACUUGUUCGAUGACAAUCGACUGAUUUUGGGAUUGAUUAUAUAGACAAUCUGGAGCUUAAGGGGUUAGAAGUUAGAACUAAGAAACAGUUUUUGUUCUCUCUUAUUUUGCUUCUUUUGAAUUCUGGUUGUUUUAAAGUUCAGAGAUAGAGUGUGCCUAGAAGAAAUGAACUUCGAAAAGUGUGUAGCUACCUAUGGCUUUCAUUAUCGUGGCCUUUUUCAAACUUCUCCGGCCAUGUAAUAGACAUUAUGUAAUGUCAAAAUCCCUCUUCUUUUAUAAAACAUUUAGGAUGGUUCGAAUUUACAAUAAUUUAUUGUACACCCAAACUGACUUUACACAAAAAUUAACUACAUUAAAAUAAAACUGAGUAUAUCAUAAGAUUGACUAAUAUCAUACAAAAACUGAUUAUAUCAUGCAAAAAUGACUAUACAGAAGGUGAUUAUAUCAUACAAAAACUAAUUACAUCAUUUGUCUUUGGGUGUACAAUAAGUUAUCGACUCUGUUUGGUAACAAUAGUUGAGAAUAAAUUGAAACUGAUACGAUAAAUGUGAAACUGAUAAUGUGUUGGAACUGAUAAGGUAACCGAUUAGCUUAACUGUUUGGCAAAGUUAGUUGCUCAAGUUGAUAGAUCAUUUUUUCAAAGUUAGUUAUCAAAAUUUUUUAAAAAAAAAAUCAACAAUUUCAGUCACAUGAUUUUGUAAAAAGGUAAAAUUUUUAACUUAUUAUUUAAGUCAUUUUAACCACUUAAAAUUUUAUUUUAGUUACUCCUCAAACACUACUAAUCUUUUUAACACCUAAAAUAUAUUAGCACCUAGGUAAAUAAAAUAUUUUUCCAAACAAAUUCAUUGUAAAUUCCGUCUAUUCAAGUUUUUUUUUUUUAGUUUAUUAGUAAAGAAGGCGUGAGCUUAUUUUUAUUUACCAAAAUGACGAGAGUGUAUAUUAUUUUCAUGAUUUUACCAAUAUAGAUUAGUAGCCUUGGGUCUUUGACUUUUAGUUAUGUUCUUUUGGACCGAAUUAAUGAAAAUUCAUUUCAAUUGAGUUCAGAUAAAUUCAAUUCAGUUCAGUUCUGUUCAGACAUGUUCAAUUCAGUUUAUUUCAAGUAUAUUUCGUUUAUUUCGUUUAUCCGGUUUAGUUGAGUUCACGCAAAUUUAAUCGAGUUCAAUUUAGUCCAAUUCGGUCCAAUUUAUUUCAGGUUCAUUCCGUUCGGUUCUGAGGUUUUACUCCUUCCUAAAACGUUGUUAGUUGGAAUAAUUUGAUUCAAGCAAAGCAAUUGACCAAAUAUAGGUGCAGCUGCAAUGGUACCUGGUAAUGGCAGCCGAUUCCUCUACUUCUUGCUGUCUACCUCUCAUUGUCAGCGCCUUCCAUCUACAUUGUUGUAUUCAACAUUAAGAUCUUUAACUUCAACUUCAACUAAAGAAGUUGGAAGUUGGUUUGCUGUCUCGACUUUGUGUUUUCCAGUGGACAAAAGAUGGAUCACAAGGUGCCUUGCAAUUCCUCUCCUCUGUCGAGUUUCUAGUAUUGCCCCUUGCUCUCUUUCUCCCUUUGUGAGUACGAGAAAGGAGCGGGGGCAGAAAUAAACAACUGGAAUCGGUGUUGUGGAUUGUUAUGUCCUCGGGGCUGAUUCCCCACGAAAUGUAUGUGAUGCUAUUAAGGUCACUGUUGGUUCUUUAAGUUGAGGUUAAUGGUUGAGUUUUCUGAUGCAGGCUAAUAACUAAUUCUUCCUACUUGGCAUGGAUCCUAAUGUGAAGAGACUCUAUAGCUUAUCAUGAUGGUCCCCCAUGUCGGUAAGAAGUUGCUUUGAGCUAUUGAGACUCCUUGAAACUUCUAUUAUCAUGAUGGUUCCCCAUGUCCAAGCAUGUUUAUCUCCAAAUUCUUGGAGCGAAAAUCAAGAUUCAAAUGAGGUACUAGCAAUACUUGAAAGAUUAUAUAGGUGAGUAGCUGAUCACAAUAAAUGAGCUAGUGAAGCUCAACGGAUUGACACUCUAUGGAUGCGAGAGGGUCAAGCUGCAGACCUUCGGACAAGGCCCAAGAAGGUGAGCAGACACAUGGUGGUGUUUCUUAUAAGAUUGAGCAAGGCACGUUACAAGAGUGUGUGCGGAGUGUUGCUCGCGACAAUUAGGGAUAGAGCUGGAGUCUGUUGUUGAAGUGAAAGCAACUCCAAUUAGGAAUUUUACCUGUAAUGCUCCCCUUAAUGUCAUGAAAAGAGAUGCAACAGGACCUUAUACUUGAUUAUUCUCUAUAAACAACACAUGUAUUGGCAUGAGCAAGGGGUUCCUCGGAAACACCCCUUUAGGCAGCUUGCUUCUUAUGGAAGUGAUCAUCUGCUCGUCUCAGGUUGUUCGACAUUGUCACUCAAGUUCGCAUUUGAUAGGUCAUCUGUUCCCAUCUACGGACUUUGUUGUACUGAUUCCUAUAUGAUGUACAUUUAAACUAAAAUAUCAUUGUUGAAACUGAAAUAUCAUUGUUGUAUUCAACCUCAACCUCUUCAAGCUCAACUCAACCAAACAACCAAACAACCCCUUAAGGAAGGUUAAUUGGGUAUAGUACAGGGAACUACUCCGCCAUUGCUAUCCCUAGAAUGAAGUAUCUAAAAUUUCCAUUGAAAGCUUAAUUUUCAUCUACUUGUCAUUUACAUUCACCCCUUUUUAAGUAGCUCCCCUAUUGG